GACGAACGCUGGCGGCGUGCUUAACACAUGCAAGUCGAACGGAAAGGCCCUGCUUUUGUGGGGUGCUCGAGUGGCGAACGGGUGAGUAACACGUGAGUAACCUGCCCUUGACUUUGGGAUAACUUCAGGAAACUGGGGCUAAUACCGGAUAGGAGCUCCUGCUGCAUGGUGGGGGUUGGAAAGUUUCGGCGGUUGGGGAUGGACUCGCGGCUUAUCAGCUUGUUGGUGGGGUAGUGGCUUACCAAGGCUUUGACGGGUAGCCGGCCUGAGAGGGUGACCGGCCACAUUGGGACUGAGAUACGGCCCAGACUCCUACGGGAGGCAGCAGUGGGGAACAUUGCACAAUGGGCGGAAGCCGGAUGCAGCAACGCCGCGUGCGGGAGGACGGCCGUCGGGUUGUAAACCGCUUUCGCCUGUGACGAAGCGUGAGUGACGGUAAUGGGUAAAGAAGCACCGGCUAACUACGU
rnacentral:rRNA from 1 species